rnacentral:RNase_P_RNA from 1 species
CCCGUGGACAGGUGACCGCUGCCCGCCAUGUGGCGGGUGGAGGAAAGUCCGGACACGACAGGACACGGUGGUGGGUAACGCCCACCGGCUCUCGUCGAGCCAGGGAAAGUGCCACAGAAAGCAAACCGCCCGACCCGGCGACGGGAUGGGUAAGGGUGAAAGGGUGCGGUAAGAGCGCACCGCCCGGCCGGUGACGGUCGGGGCACGGCAAACCCCACCGCGUGCAAGCGCAAGCAGCCCUCGCGGUGCGCCUCGGCGUACCGGCCCGUGGUCCGCGGGAUGAGGGCGGGUCGCGUGCAUGAGGUCGACGGCAACGUCGGCCCCAGAUGAAUGGUCACCGCCCGCCGAGCCGCCGACGGCCGCGAAGCGGGGCACAGAAUCCGGCUUACGUCCACGGACGAG